CUUCUUUUGUAGUUCAUAAGCAUGAUAACUGGGUUUUCACGGCCUGUGUGAGAUGUGCCUCCCUCAUACCUUUUAAUGAUGUUGGGACAUCACCUAUCUGAUG